AGUAAACGCUGGCGGUAGGCCUAACACAUGCAAGUCGAACGGUAGCACAGGAGAGCUUGCUCUCUGGGUGGCGAGUGGCGGACGGGUGAGGAAUACAUCGGAAUCUACUCUGUCGUGGGGGAUAACGUAGGGAAACUUACGCUAAUACCGCAUACGACCUACGGGUGAAAGCAGGGGAUCUUCGGACCUUGCGCGAUUGAAUGAGCCGAUGUCGGAUUAGCUAGUUGGCGGGGUAAAGGCCCACCAAGGCGACGAUCCGUAGCUGGUCUGAGAGGAUGAUCAGCCACACUGUGACUGAGACACGGGCCAGCCUCCUACGGGAGGCAGCAGUGGGGAAUAUUGGACAAUGGGCGCAAGCGUGAUCCAGCCAUACCGCGUGGGUGAAGAAGGCCUUCGGGUUGUAAAGCCCUUUUGUUGGGAAAGAAAUCCAGCUGGCUAAUACCCGGUUGGGAUGACGGUACCCAAAGAAUAAGCACCGGCUAGCUUCGUGCCAGCAGCCGCAGUAA
rnacentral:rRNA from 1 species